AACGAACGCUGGCGGCAGGCUUAACACAUGCAAGUCGAGCGGAGAGAGGUAGCUUGCUACUGAUCUUAGCGGCGGACGGGUGAGUAAUGCUUAGGAAUCUGCCUAUUAGUGAGGGACAACAUUUCGAAAGGAAUGCUAAUACCGCAUACGUCCUACGGGAGAAAGCAGGGGAUCUUCGGACCUUGCGCUAAUAGAUGAGCCUAAGUCGGAUUAGCUAGUUGGUGGGGUAAAGGCCUACCAAGGCGACGAUCUGUAGCGGGUCUGAGAGGAUGAUCCGCCACACUGGGACUGAGACACGGCCCAGACUCCUACGGGAGGCAGCAGUCGAGAAUUUUUGACAAUGGGGGAAACCCUGAUCGAGCGACGCCGCGUGGAGGAUGAAGGUCUUCGGAUUGUAAACUCCUGUCAUUGGGGAACAAUGCGUGACGGUUAACUGCCGUCGCGUUGAUAGUACCCGAAGAGGAAGAGACGGCUAACUCUGUGCCAGCAGCCGCAGUAAGAC
rnacentral:rRNA from 1 species